rnacentral:rRNA from 1 species
GGGGAAUUUUCCGCAAUGGGCGAAAGCCUGACGGAGCAAGACCGCGUGGGGGAGGAAGGUUCUUGGAUUGUAAACCCCUUUUCUCAGGGAAGAACACAAUGACGGUACCUGAGGAAUAAGCAUCGGCUAACUCCGUGCCAGCAGCCGCGGUAAUACGGAGGAUGCAAGCGUUAUCCGGAAUAAUUGGGCGUAAAGCGUCCGUAGGUGGUCAUUCAAGUCUGCCGUUAAAGAGUGGGGCUUAACCCCACAAAGGCGGUGGAAACUGAAAGACUAGAGUGCAGUAGGGGUAGAGGGAAUUCCCGGUGUAGCGGUGAAAUGCGUAGAGAUCGGGAAGAACACCGGUGGCGAAAGCGCUCUGCUGGACUGCAACUGACACUGAGGGACGAAAGCUAGGGGAGCGAAUGGGAUUAGAUACCCCAG